rnacentral:lncRNA from 10 species
CUUGUUUCUGCCGAUUCAAGAGGACUGACAAGAGCAGAAACAAUAGCCAACACUGUGGUCAUUUCAACUGGUUCAGCUUACAAAAUUCUGACUGAAAAAUUAAAGUUGAGCAAGCUUUCCACUCAAUGGCUGUUAAAACCCUUUGCACCCAGAUCAGCUGUAGACAAGAGCAGAGCUUUGGAUAGAAAGUCUAGACAAGUACGAUCAAGAUCCUGAAGCACUUAUUCGAAGAACUGCAAUAGGAACUGAAACAUGGCUUUACCAGUACAAUCCCGAAGACAAAGCACAAUCAAAGCAAUUUAGCUGGGCACAGUGGCGCGUGCCUGUAGUCCCAGCUACCAGGGAGGUUGAGCCUGCAGUGAGGCAAGACCGCAUCAUUGCACUCUAGCCUGGGCAAGAGAGCCAGAUAUUGUCUCAAAAAAAAAAAAAAAAGGGUACUAAGAGGUCAAAGUGGCCAAGUGGUCCAGUGAAAGGAAAAGCAGACUGGUCAAGAGUAAAGGUCAUGGCAAUAGUUUUUUGGGAUGCUCAAGGCAUUUUGCUUGUUGAGUUUCUGGAAAGCCAACAAAUGAUAAUAUCUGCUUAUUAUGAGUGUUUGGA